GACGAACGCUGGCGGCGUGCCUAAUACAUGCAAGUAGAACGCUGAAGGAGGAGCUUGCUUCUCUGGAUGAGUUGCGAACGGGUGAGUAACGCGUAGGUAACCUGCCUGGUAGCGGGGGAUAACUAUUGGAAACGAUAGCUAAUACCGCAUAAUAGUAGAUGUUGCAUGACAUUUGCUUAAAAGGUGCAAUUGCAUCACUACCAGAUGGACCUGCGUUGUAUUAUCUAGUUGGUGAGGUAACGGCUCACCAAGGCAACGAUACAUAGCCGACCUGGUAGGGUGGUCGGCCACACUGGGACUGAGACACGGCCCAGACUCCUACGGGAGGCAGCAGUAGGGAAUCUUCGGCAAUGGACGGAAGUCUGACCGAGCAACGCCGGGGGAGUGAAGAAGGUUUUCGGAUCGUAAAGCUCUGUUGUAAGAGAAGAACGAGUGUGAGAGUGGAAAGUUCACACUGUGACGGUAUCUUACCAGAAAGGGACGGCUAACUACGUG
rnacentral:rRNA from 1 species